CCUACGGGAGGCAGCAGUGGGGAAUAUUGGACAAUGGGCGAAAGCCUGAUCCAGCCAUGCCGCGUGUGUGAAGAAGGUUUUCGGAUUGUAAAGCACUUUAAGUUGGGAGGAAGGGCAGUAAGUUAAUACCUUGCUGUUUUGACGUUACCGACAGAAUAAGCACCGGCUAACUCUGUGCCAGCAGCCGCGGUAAU
rnacentral:rRNA from 1 species